AAGUUGGUUUUUGUUAUCCUCCAAAAGAUAGUGUAUUGCACACUGUACUUACCUUCAGGGAGAAAAUAAAUGAAUAGAGAAGCCAUCUCCUCCAGCCUGGAGAUCUUCUCAAGCACAACCUCACACUUCUCCUGCAAAACAAAUUCAUAGUUCAAACAUCUAACUUCGUUAUGCAUGCAACUACUCGGUACAAAAAUGAUAAUUGAGACUGAGAAGUCCGCUCCAAUUUCAGUACCUUCAGGAACAACACUUCCACGUCCAGCUAGUUGCUGCCUCGGUUCACUCCAUACAAUGAGAAAUGAUAAACUUGUGUCACAUCUACUGCAGAUUAGAAAUCAGAUAAUGCAAGAAAACAUCCACAUCAAGGAAACCAUUAGUAAAUCAAAAUAUAAACAUAUGUGCACAUCUCAUUUUUCUGAGUUAUGAUAAAUCUCAGAUUGAUAGUCUUGUAAGAAUAGCAGUUGCCAUCAAGCAUCAAGUAAACAAUUUGUGAACAAGUAUCAAAGAGCAAGAUUAACAUGUAGCAGACAAAUUCAGCUGCAUUACUUGAUUUAACAACAUUCCAAGGCAUCAAUACAAUAGCAACUCUGUUUGACAGUACAAGCUUCAGUGAAUAAACACAACAAAAGAUCAAUUUGCAAGCACCAUACCGAAUAAUAAGGUCACCAGGAAAGUAACCGGUCCUGGUUCCCCGUGGUCUAGCGCUUAGGCCACUUCAUAGCAUAGACAAAGCAAGAUAUUGAUUUGCAUCACCUAAAUAAUAGUAGUAGAAAACAAUCAAUAAACACAUAUCCUUCUUAUUAUCAAUCAAAAGUACUUGAAACUAAAAUUACAGAAGAACAUUUAUCUCCUAAGAGCAUGACCUAACCACAUGCUGAAUCAAAUUGUCAUAAUUUUUGGAAGUUUCAUCAUUACCCAAACUUGUUAUUUCCUCCUCUCUGUCUCAAAACUAUCAUAAAUCCAUAUCUUCGAUCUAAAAUGGUCUACUUUCUUCAUAAAGCAAUCAACCAAGACAAGUACUACCCUAUAACUAAAUAUUAAGACAUUUUUGUUGUUCAAAUUGAACUACAAAAACUUCUAAUAUUUAGUUACUGAGGGAGUAUCUUUUAAGGAUGAGUAUAGAUAAGAUAUCAAAAGCUCUGUAGGAGAACAAACAUGGGAAUGUUUCGAGAAUUAGCAAGACUAAACAUCAAAUAUGGAUUGUGUGCAACUUGUAGAUCUUGUAAAGAGUAUAUAACAUCCAAAUGAAAAAUCAAAAUUACUACGUUGUACAUCAUGAACUGUUGAGAAAGAAAACAAAUAUGUGGUCUAAACAAUCCAGAAGAUUUCUCUGAGCCUACAAAAUUUACUUUGUUGCAAUACAAACGUAAAGAAUGGCGCGAUAAGUAAAAAAAACACAGUGGCACAAGUAAUCUGUGAAUAGGUGGUAUUUAGAUCGUUUAAUAGAUUCAUUAUGUGAGUAUUCAUACUAAAUAAAAAUCAAUACCAGAACUAAAUCAUAGUAAAUAGAUCUGGAGUAUUUUCUCUGAAAAGGGCAUUAUAUUGGACCAUGAGACUCACAACAAUAGAACUGCAGCUACAACUGAUAACAGAGCAGCAUUUUUAUACACGGUCCGAAGAACAGUAAGAUUCACUCACAUGAACCCUAGAUCGAUACUACUGAAUUACGGAAUUUAUAAGCGAACGACAGCUCAUGUUUACCUUGUUCAUUGGUGGCACCGCGGACUGGAUUUUCCCCUUUCCUGUCAUCGGCAUGGUGGAGAAGAGUUCCCUCCAUGCACUGAUUGAUAUUGAGUCAUCAGUUGCUUUCAAAUCACAAAGAA
rnacentral:lncRNA from 1 species